CCACAGGCCUCUUCAAAGCAGCUCAGAGCCUGGGCUCAGAGGCUGGAUGCUGCCGCCUGGUUCCAGGCCCCGAAGGUCACGGGCCGGGAGGAGAAGCAGUGUGACCCCAGCGGCUCUCCUUUCUGAGGUCACACCUGCCCCCCAUACACCCCUUCACCUACACUCACACACUCCCCUGGCCCAGCCGUAUGCAGAGGGCCCACCUCCCACCACUGAGGCCUCCGCCAGUGCUGCCACCCUGCCCAGCUCUUGCGAGCCCCAUCUCUCCCUGCUGACCAGGAGGAGAGGGGAGAAGGGCUGAAAUCUGUGUGCCGCGGCCCUGGACUGCCCUCCGGGGAAGCAGCUCAGCCCUUCCAGGCUGAAGCGGGGGUUUCAAGGGAGGAACAUUCCCAAAGCCAGCCCAGGAGGCCUCAUGAGAGACCCUGGCGCCCCAGCACUGCGCUCUCUGCCUCUCCUGGAGCCUCCCCCGCAGCAGGCUAAGGCGGAUCCUGAGCAGCUUAUUCUGAAAAGAGAGGGAAGCCAAACAAUCCUCCACAAACGAACAUCCAGGAAAAAAAUGAAUCCAAUUUACACUCAGAAGUUGUCACUACAAAUGAAAAUGGGAGUGAGCAUCGAACAGAAAAGGGUGGACUUCCUUUUUGCCUCUGCUCUCAGCAUGGGUGAGCUGAUAAAUCCCCAAAGAGAUCAAUCUGGGCAAGCA
rnacentral:lncRNA from 1 species